UACAGAGGUCUCAAGCGUUGUUCGGAUUCAUUGGGCGUAAAGGGUGCGUAGGCGGCGCGGUAAGUCGGGUGUGAAAUCUCGGGGCUUAACUCCGAAACUGCAUUCGAUACUGCCGUGCUUGAGGACUGGAGAGGAGACUGGAAUUUACGGUGUAGCGGUGAAAUGCGUAGAUAUCGUAAGGAAGACCAGUGGCGAAGGCGAGUCCCUGGACACUUCCUGACACUGAGGCACGAAAGCUAGGGGAGCAAACAGG
rnacentral:rRNA from 1 species